CACAUGCAAGUCGAACGGCAGCACGGGAGCAAUCCUGGUGGUGAGUGGCGAACGGGUGAGUAAUAUAUCGGAACGUGCCCAGUCGUGGGGGAUAACGCAGCGAAAGCUGUGCUAAUACCGCAUACGAUCUCUGGAUGAAAGCGGGGGACCUUCGGGCCUCGCGCGAUUGGAGCGGCCGAUAUCAGAUUAGCUAGUUGGUGGGGUAAAAGCUCACCAAGGCGACGAUCUGUAGCUGGUCUGAGAGGACGACCAGCCACACUGGAACUGAGACACGGUCCAGACUCCUACGGGAGGCAGCAGUGGGGAAUUUUGGACAAUGGGCGCAAGCCUGAUCCAGCAAUGCCGCGUGCAGGAUGAAGGCCUUCGGGUUGUAAACUGCUUUUGUACGGAACGAAACGG
rnacentral:rRNA from 1 species